UUCGUCAUCCCGGCAACGAUUCUAUGUUAACUUUACCUUGAUAAGGCCAAAUCGUACUGAUAAUGCUAGUUCUGUGUCAAGUUCCAACCCAAUAGUGACCGGAUCUUGAUAAGCAAGAAGUGUACCAAGAUGCGUCACUAGUGCUAGUGUUUGAACAAGACAUUGGUGUACAUCAAGACAACAUGCUCGGGCUGCCAGCAGCUGCUAGCACGGCGAGCGUCGCUACACUACAACCCCCUUCCAUCGACGCCACCACAGGAAGUGCAUGAAUGGCCGUGAGGGAGGCGGCCGGCGACUGACCGCUCAUGCAACGGCUGCGCACCACGUUCAAGCGGUCGCGGACGCCGACCGGCGCCGAGAUGAAGACCCAGAGCAGCCUGGAAGUGCCCAAGCAGGUGAGGUCGGCCUCCUUCGACGAGAUCCAACUGGAGGCCAAGAGAUCACUGCAACACCAGACGUCAGAGUCCGGGGGCUUCCUGUCGGUGCCGGCGCCGUCCCAGCGGUCCAAGAGUUUCGAUGGCGGCGGUGGAGAAGGCGAGGCCUCCGCGUUCUUAGAGGUCCCGCGACCAGGAAGGUUCCAAAGAAGAAGGAGUUCCGGUGAUAAGUCGCCUCCCCCUUGCAUCCACUGUAUCUACAUGGAGGAGUACUGGAGGUCGAGGAGUCCUUCAGGGGAAGACUCUCCACAUCCGAGGUCCUUCAGCUACAGCGAUACUUCCACCGAGGACGAAGUAGACAGCGAUCCUGAACCUCCUGCUAGACCUCAAGAUCUUGAUCUAGAGCCCCCUCUAACCCCUUUAACACCUCAGUGCUGCAUCACAGUUACCCUUUCCCCCAACCCUGUAGUUACCUCCCCUACACUUGACGAACCUCCGCCUUCCCCCUCCAGCAGGAGAAGAUCCAUCACAUCUCCGAAGCUGGAACGCCAAGAAGCCUUUAUUUUCAACGAAAAUCUCCUCGACCCCAACAUUCCCCUGGAUGUUUUAACUCCAGAUGAGCCUCCACCUUCUCCCGCUGUGCCUAACGCUCUCAUAGUCAGCGAGUUCUUCCUCGCCGUGCCGGAGCUGAAACGAGAUCGUGCUGCCUCUGUAGACUCCUGCUUCAUCAACAAGAGCGGAGGAUCCAAGACCGAGGAGAUCCCUCCCCCCUCGGACACCCAACUACUUCUGGAACCACCGCCUCUUGGACCCAACGCUCUCAGGUCUCGGUCAGUAGACAUCGUCCUGCCCACGGACACCCAGGCGCGGUACAAAGCACUGGCCAUGACCAACAACUCACAACCCCGCACCGGCGACAAGGGGAAGGCGGUGCAGAGUGGAGGUGGUGGAGGUGAUGGGGACUCGGGGACCGCCCAAAGAUCCAUUAGGUCCACGCCAGACUGGAGUGAGACGGCGGUCAACGGGGACCAUCUGUGGUCUCCUACCAACGCUUCUGGGGACUUCUGCUACGUAGGGGAAGGAGACUGCACGAAACAAGGCAGUAGGAUGAAGUGCUCAGCUUGUAAGAUCGUCGCCCACUCUGGAUGUAUCAGUGUGCUCAUGGAGAGGGUCAAGUUCACCUGUAAACCCACGUUCCGUGAUGUAGGGGUGAGACAGUACAGGGAACAGACGUGCAUCCACCACCACUGGGUACACCGGAGGUCGCAGAAGGGGAAGUGCAAACAGUGCGGGAAGUCGUUCCAGUCCAAGUUAUCGUUCAGUUCAAAGGAGAUCGUUGCUCUCAGUUGUUCCUGGUGCAAGACAGCUUAUCACAACAAGGAGUCUUGCUUUAACCUGCAGAAGAUAGGGGAAGAAUGCAGCUUAGGUCAUCAUGUCAACAUUAUUGUUCCGCCAUCUUGGAUUGUGAAACUUCCGAGAAGAGGGAGUUUCAAAUCCAGCCUUCGAAAGUCGCCUAAAAAGAAACCAUCGAGUAAAAAGCGAAGUAAAGAAAAGAUAGAGAAAGAUCCCAAGACUUUUGUGAUAAAGCCCAUCCCAACAGCCAAUGUUCGGCCGGUUAUUGUGUUUAUUAACCCUAAAUCCGGAGGCAAUCAAGGUGUCAAACUACUGCAGAAGUUCCAAUGGCUCCUCAACCCCAGACAGGUGUUUGACCUCACCCAGGGAGGUCCUAAGAUGGGACUGGAGUUGUUCCGCAAAGUGCCUAACCUAAGAGUGCUCGCCUGUGGUGGAGAUGGUACGGCGGGGUGGGUGCUCAGCAUCCUGGACCAGCUAUCGUUCACUCCACCCCCGGCUGUGGGGGUGUUACCUCUCGGAACUGGCAACGACCUAGCCAGAGCCCUGGGGUGGGGAGGGGGAUACACAGAUGAGCCUAUCUCCAAGAUCCUAGCCAACAUCGGAGACAGCGAAGUAAUCAACCUGGACCGCUGGCAGCUCACGGUGGAAAAGAACUCGACUGUGGAACCCAACGAAGAGGGCAAAGAGAGUCUUCCUCUCAAUGUCGUCAACAAUUACUUCUCCCUCGGUGUGGACGCUCACAUCGCGCUGGAGUUCCACGAAGCGAGAGAGGCUCAUCCUGAAAGGUUCAACUCCAGACUGAGAAACAAGAUGUUCUACGGUCAGAUGGGAGGCAAGGAUCUGCUGAGACGGAAGUGGAAGGGGUUGGCAGACCUGGUGACGUUAGAGUGUGAUGGCAAGGAUAUGACGCCCAAGCUCAAGGAACACAAAGUUCAUGCAAUUGUCUUCCUAAACAUUCCUAGCUAUGGAGGGGGUACGCAUCCCUGGAAUAGAGCGCAAGGGGUGGAGCAAGCUACUGACGAUGGAAUGAUAGAAGUCGUUGGUCUUACCACCUACCAACUACCGUUGUUGCAAGCAGGAGGUCACGGAACAACGAUCUGCCAGUGUCAAUCAGCGAAAAUUGUCACCACAAAAACCAUCCCAAUGCAGGUUGAUGGUGAAGCCUGCAAGCUGAAUCCUUCCAUCAUCACUAUGAACCUGCUCAACAAAGCCCCGAUGUUGGCGAAGAGACGCGGCGGCAAACCUAAUGUUCCUCAAGCUACGCUAGAUCAACUAAGAGUUACUGUGUACAGAAUAAGCAUGGCGGAUUACGAACAACAUCACUACGACAAAACCCUCCUCAAACAAGCAGAGGAUCAGAGAAGAGAACCGAUACGUGGAGCUAUAAAAAUGGGUGAAAUAGAAGUUGCGCCGGUAGCCGAUUUAGAACAAGUUCGUCAAAUGGUUAACAAACUGCAAGAAAACUCUUCAGAACCUUCUGAGAAUUGCCCAAAACUAUCACCUGAUUGGUGUUUUGUGGAUUCUUGCACGGCAGAGAGGUUUUUCCGGGUGGAUCGAGCACAAGAACAUCUUCACUACUUGACAGACAUUGCCAAUGAUGCGUUGUACGUGUUGGACACACUGCCGCAAACGCCAGACGAUGAAACUGCUUUCCUUUCCCCGGUGAACAGUAACCAUCAGUCCCCAAGCAGUCUACCAGGAGAACAGACGACGCCUGAACUCAGUCCGAGUGAGGAAUCGCCUAAGAGGCCGAUAGAUCUGGAGCUAGAAUCUUCACCACCUCAGAGGCCCCCGCGGAGCCCCCCGUCAAGCCCCGCCCUAGGGACUCUGCCGAGCUCCGCACUAGGGACACCGUCAAGCCCUCCGCCCUCCCCACCACCGGAACCCCCCAUCGACGGAUCUCCCGUCGCCGGAACUACCAACUACAUUAGCAAGGUCCAAGAGCGUUUGUUUGGCCUAGGUUUAUUUAAUUAUCGCAAUCUUCUGGAAAAAACAUCAGACGGGAUCGUACGAGCAGCCAAAAAUGGGGAUUUAAAAAUGCUGAAGGACCUCCACGGUCAAGGUUUCUCGCUGUUGUCUAUUGACGCGAGUGGUCAGACAGCUCUUCACCAUGGUGCUAAGUACGGCCACAAGGAUAUAGUCAAGUACCUCAUAGCCUGUGCGCCUGCAUCCAUACUCAACAUGGCGGACAACGACAAGGGUCAGACAGCUCUGCAUAAAGCAGCUCAGACCAAGCGGCGCAGCAUAUGUUGUAUGUUGGUGGCCGGCGGCGCCAGUCUCACCAUGCAAGACCGGUCCGGUGCCACCCCACGACAGCUAGCGGUACAAGCAGACGACCAGGACUUAGCUGCCUACCUGGAGAAACUAAGCGCAGAAAAUGUGAUCAAUUAUACCGUAAAUAGGCUGGGGAUGCUCCAAAACCAAGUUAAUAGAAAACUUAAAAGGAAAACUAAAAAAUCCAGAUAAAUAUGGAAAAACUAUGAAAUAUUCAAAGGUACGGAAUACUAUUCCCUUUAAGGAUAUAAUUAGGGCCAGGAGAGUUUUCAACUUACGGGAGACGAUGUUGAAACGGUUGUCUGAAAACCGGAGAAUCCCCGAGAAGAGUCAAUUAUCCUUCCCUGCUUCGCCAUAUCAACUAAUAGAAUAGCAACUCAUGCCUUCUUACUACUUUCUAAAUAUUGUUCAUUCGGUCUGUUUAGCGGUUAGAGAAAAUAAUCGUAUUUUAAUGUUAAUGGACACUAUUUUUAAUACAAGAUUAACUGUAUAAAAGAUAUUCUUACUACGAACUACUCUGGUCUGUACAGAUGUAAACUUAUCAGCUGUUCAGAUUGUUACGUUCUGUAAGUGUGGCUUUUGUGUUUCAUUGUCUUAAGAAAAGAAACUCGCAUUUGAAAUUUACCUGUAAACUUUUUCACCGCAGUAUACUUGUUCUCAUUAGUUUUUGCUUUCCUUCAAUUACGGAAUGUAAUAUUAAUACGACUUUACAAAGAAUUAACAUCACACCACUAAACGCUUAGAGUAAAAAAUAUUUUUCAGCUGUUUUAGAGUUUUUUUUAAGUAAAACACCACAAUACUAUGUAUAUAAAGUCAAUUGAAUAAUUAAAACAUUUCCCUAGUCGAGAAAGUAGUGAGGGAGUAAACAUUUUUGGGGAUCUUUUAAACUAAGAAAAUUUAUCAGUAUUUUUACAACAUUUUGAUUUAAAGUGUUUAUAUUUCUCGUGCUUCGCAAUGGGACCCGUUGCGGUGGGCCGGGCUUCGACCACCGGAUACACCCAUAUAUUUAUAACUAUUUUAAGUACUAAGAAGACACCAACAUGUUUUAUAUUGAUGUAACUUAUUACGUAAGUAAUUGAAAUAUAUAGAUUGUUUUUAUCGCUGUACACUUAGAUUAUAUAUUUCAACUAGAAUCAAACAGAUGGUGUUUGUGAAAUAAAUGUAUAGUCUUCUACCUAUUUAAACUUAUGGCCUUUUGCACUUAUGGUGUAUAUUUCGCUAACUUCUACAGAUAGUUGUUAUAUUAACUUAAACUUAUGUAUGAUGGAUAUAAGAUCUUGAAAUUAACUGCAAACUUUUAUUGUUCAAAAUAUAAAUGUUUCCGGAGACAGAUUAUGUAUUUUCCUUUAUAGUUAUGUGUAUUUAGGAAUACCCAAUAGUUUCCUUUUAGAAAUGAAAAGUCCAUACUAAUUUUACUAUAUUCUUGAAUUUAGAAUAGAAGGUUUAUGUGCUUUUUUGACUAUGGUCUUAACAAUUAGUGUGCUUAAUUUACUUUCUGAGUUAAGUGAAAGAAUAGAAAUAUUGAAAGGGGGAGGGGGUUUAAGCUUUAAUAGAUGGAAGAUUAAUGAUAAUUAAGAGAUUUUUGGAAUAUUCUCAAAAAUAAGUCUACUACAAAUCGUACAGUUCAAAUUUACUGUGCACUAUAAAGAAUAAUAAAAGUUUGCAAUUUUGGACUCUUAGUAUUUAGUUUUAACUCUUUAUUUUUCUUGUAUGCUUGGUUUAAAAAAAUAAAAAUCAUUGAAGUAUUAUAACUUGGCCUGGAAUUUAAUAAAUUAUUAAUCUUCUUGCUCAAAUUAUCUUUUACCAUUGACAUUUUACUAUCAUUUUCCCAAUUCUAUGUGAGCAUUUUGAGCAAUUUGCCCUUAUUCCGAUGAAAGAACUAAAGUGUACAUUACCUUGACUGCAUUUUAUCACUGUACCUAUAUGUUAGUAAGCUUGUGAGUUGGUUUUGUUAGUUUCUCAACGAUUCAGAAAUUAUUGAUAUAAAACCAGUCAUGUGAAUCAUUUGUCUACUAGAUUCCACAAUAAAAAUUAUUAGAAAAAAAAAACAUAAAUUAUUCUUUGUUAUAAUUUAACGGUUUAUAAGCUAAAUUAUAUAACAGUCAAUUUUCGCAUUCCGAAUGUAAACAAUACCAGUGCAACAGCUGAUCUACAAGUUUUACAACCAUUGUUGCCACCUUUUGCAUACAAACCAUACCUACGUGCUUACAUUUUUGUGUUUAUUAGUUGAAAAUGGAGUGCAGAAAUCAGCUAUUUAGCGUUUUCUAAUCAGUCCAGAGGAUAUAUUUUUUGGUAAUGUUAUUUUUUUAACACAAAAAAUACCAAUUUUGUUAAGAAUUGUAUAUUUAAUAGGUAAUAUUAUAUUAAACAUAUUCAUUGAUGAUAAAGAAAUAAAAAUAUCUCAAACAGCCCCAAGAUUAAAUUAACAAAACCAGCUCAUAAGGUAUUUGUUAGCGUAGAUCAUAAAAUGAAAAAAUAAAAAAGAAACAUGAAUUCGUGGUGUAGUCGCAAGUAUCGCUGUAAUGUUGAAUGUUCUCUAAGUUCUUUACGUUUAUUUUUGUAAAAAUAUUAUUCAAUUGAAUUUGUUUUCUUUGAUUAAAGGAAAUCAUAAUUCAAUUAUGGUAAAUAGUUUUAAUCUGUGAAUACCACGCGGCACCCAAGUGGAAGAUAGGUUAAGUAGCGAUUAAUAUUGAAACUAGCAAUACUGUAUUGUAAUUUAAGAUUAUCGUAUUGUAUUGUUGUACAGUAUUGUAUUGUGUCAAACUACUCUUUGCUAUUUAACGAGAUUGGUGGAAACGUCGGAUUUGUUAUUGAAUGUUUCGAUUCGUUUUAGAAAUGUCCAUUGCUUUGAAACUGAUGUAGUUUGAUUUUUGAUCCAGAUUAUGAUUUCAAUUCUAUUAUACAUAACUUUUAUCCAAAAAAAUUUUCCUGUAGUAGAAAGAAUUAUUUUUAUAUUGCAACAUUUAUUAAUUAUUGCAAUAAGAAUCGAUACAGCUUAUGUAUAGAUUUUUUUUUUUACUUUCAGUAAACAUUGAAAAUCUUCCAAAAUUCUAUAUAAUUUCAAAAUAGUUUUCUCCAAAAGAAGUUCAGUAGCAAAACUGACUAUGAAGCCUUUCUUUUCCUAUCGGGUUCCUUAUGUCUUAGCGUCAACCUUUAGAUUUAUUCCACUUAGAGCCUUAUAGCUUGUAAAUCUUAUGUAAUUAAUUGUUUCAAAAGGUGAUUCUCAAACAAUACCUAGACAGUUGUGGCUGUAAAAAACUGUUAAGCUGGGUUUUCCUUGGCGCAGAAGCGGGAGGGCGGAAUUGCAAAGAGCGGAGUGCAGAGAAGAGAUAUUCUGCUCGCACAGUCUGCUCUUCUUCUAGGAAAAUGAAGUACAAUUAAAUUACCUAAGACAACAGGAGAGUAUACUCAGCUCUCUGCUCUAUGCGCUGCUUCCGCACCUAAAAAACCCAAGCUCAACGGAGAAGCCAAAUUAAAAAUAGUUUAUGAAGCUGGGAUGAUUUUCUAGUAACAGGAUAAUUUUUUGAUCGAGAGUAUAGGUUUGGGAAUCGCCAAUUUAAGUAUCUUUGAAAUGUGCAUUAUAUGUUGAAUCUUCCACUUGUUAAAGUUAUCACUGUAAAUACCUGCCUUAGUCAUUAUCAAGCUGUGUUUUUAAUCUGUGUCAAUUUCUUUCCAACUCUUACGUGAGUUUGUUUUUUGAGAGUGGUUUCAAAAGUUUGUGUUAUUUAUUUUGUGUAUUGUCCUUCUUGUUACUGUAGUAUUUAUAGUUUUACAUCUAUGGUUCUAUGUAUCGAGUAUAUUUUGACUGCCGUUAACUUUAGCGUCUGUGUCUAUUGAUCAACGAUUUGCAUAUAGCUUUUUGAGUAUAAAAGACAUCCUUUGAUGGUUGUAUUGUAGUUUUGUUUAGUUUGUGUAAUAUUGUUAUCUUCACUUCAUCGUUGGAGAGAUUCAGCAGGUUAAACCUCUGAAGCUGCAUAUAUGGAAUUGAUCGAUUUAUUGAUCGCGGUAAUUUGUAUUUAUUUAUAGUGGUUGUAGGAGUUUUGUUUUGUGGGUUUGCAGGUUUAAGAGUGUCAGUUUUGGAAUGUAAUGUGUCAAAAAUUUUUUACUUUGGUUGCUUGUCUUAUUUCGUUUGCUUAUUGAAAGUUCAAACCUAGAAUUACUUUAGUUCAAUGUGUUGUAAAUUUUUAAAUUAUCAUCAUUAAUGUAAUUUUUAUUAAUCUUUCCAUUUUGUGGCCAUCAAUUAACAGGCCCGGCUGGUUAUAGUUUGGACCACGCGAUUUCUGUGAAGUAUCAAGUUCUAAUCUGCCCAAUCACUAAUGGAUUUUAGCAAUGGCGAUGCUGAGAUUCUGAGGUUUAGAAGACACCUUAAGGUCUCUAAUCUCUAAAGCGAGAAAGGAAAUAUCUCAUAGCCAGAUCUUUCCCUAAAUUGGAGGAAUCUCGCCACUAAAAGCUAUGUAACUUCUUGUAGCCAUAAAGAUAUGGCACUAUUCCUACAAUCUGUGAUUAAAAUGCUUAUAUUUUACUUUCACCAUAAACUUUUCCUUUGACUUCAUCAGGGUUCUAAAAUAAUUCCAUUAAACCUAGUAGGCUAUAACUUUCUUUCUCUUAUUUAUAUGGAAUUUUAUAUUAAUCAUUAAAAAUCAACUUCAGUGGAAACUAUCACAGUAAAAUAUGACUAUUACAUUCAAAACUAUUGAUAAUUACUGUAAAUGUGAAUUAGCAAUAAAUUUUUCUCGAUCUUAUUAACUUGAUUUUUUUACUUGUAAUUUAUUGUUAUUCAUUCAUGUUAAGUUUGCUAAAUGUCUAUGGAUAUAAUUUUUGAUACUUUUGUCAGUGUAGGAUUUAAUUUUGAUUCAGCUUUUAAAUCUAUCAAAACUUAAAUAUAAAUGCUACUUUUUGUAACUGGACAAAAUUCAUUAACCAUAGAGUUAUGAAAACACGAAAAUAAUUCUCCUCCUCUAAGUAUCCUUUCAUUGAAAAAGUAUUAAAAAGUAUUAAAAGUAUUGAAUCUUUACUAAGAAUAUACCUUUUCAAUGGGCUUUUGUUGGUUAUUACUUUGUAACCAAUAAAUUGUACACAGUUAAAUCCCAAUAAGUGGAUACCUACUCUUUACAAAAGGAUAAAAUACAAUUAUUCUAAUUAUUGAAAUAUCAGGUCCUAAGACUGGUAGAAGUAUCAAAAGUUUCCGAACUUUAAUAUUCUGUUAACUCUAAAGUAAUGUCAUUGUUAAAGAUCGGUUGAUACCUUAGAUAUUUAUGUUCGUUGAAAUUCUUAUGUACAUACACUUUUUACAAUACUUCCUAUAUGUACAUAAUGUUUCUGUAUAUAAAACGACAAU